ACCAGCUGCUCCCCAUGAUGGACAUACUGUCCAAGGCCAGAUAAUUCAAGAAAAUCCAGCAAAUAGGCCACAAGCACAAAGGGAAAGAACCAUGAGGGAGUUAGCAACUCCCAUAGGUGAUUAUGCUCCACUUUGCAUCACCUAUCCACCUCUUACAGUUCCCUUAGAACUGAAAUCAGGUUUGAUUCAUCAUCUCCCUAAAUUUAGAGGUUUGCAAAAUGAAAAUCCACA
rnacentral:lncRNA from 1 species